CCUACGGGGGGCUGCAGUCGAGAAUCUUCCGCAAUGGGGGCAACCCUGACGGAGCGACGCCGCGUGGAGGAAGAAGGCCUUCGGGUUGUAAACUCCUGUCACGACUUACGAAAAUGCAGCGUGUAACAUCGCUGCACUGACAAAGGGUCGGAAGGAAGCCACAGCUAACUUCGUGCCAGCAGCUGCGGUAAUACGAAGGUGGCAAGCGUUGUUCGGAUUCACUGGGCAUAAAGGGCGCGUAGGCGGUUCCGAAAGUGAUCUGUGAAAGCCCCCGGCUCAACCGGGGAAGUGCAGGUCAAACUUCGGUACUUGAGGCUGGGAGGGGAGACUGGAACUCUCGGUGGAGCGGUGAAAUGCGUAGAUAUCGAGAGGAACACCGGUGGCGAAGGCGAGUCUCUGGACCAGCACUGACGCUGAGGCGCGAAAGCGUGGGUAGCAAACAGGCUUAGAUACCCCGGUAGUC
rnacentral:rRNA from 1 species